UACGUAGGGUGCAAGCGUUGUCCGGAAUUAUUGGGCGUAAAGAGCUCGUAGGUGGCGGGUCACGUCGGGUGUGAAAGCCCGGGGCUUAACCCCGGGUCUGCAUUCGAUACGGGCUUGCUAGGGUCCGGCAGGGGAGACUGGAAUUCCUGGUGUAGCGGUGAAAUGCGCAGAUAUCGGGAAGAACACCCGUGGCGAAGGCGGCUCUCUGGGACGGUACUGACGCUGAGACGCGAAAGCGUGGGGAGCGAACAGG
rnacentral:rRNA from 1 species